rnacentral:rRNA from 1 species
GACGAACGCUGGCGGCGUGCUUAACACAUGCCAGUCGAACGGAAAGGCCCUGCUUUUGUGGGGUGCUCGAGUGGCGAACGGGUGAGUAACACGUGAGUAACCUGCCCUUGACUUUGGGAUAACUUCAGGAAACUGGGGCUACUACCGGAUAGGAGCUCCUGCUGCAUGGUGGGGGUUGGAAAGUUUCGGCGGUUGGGGAUGGACUCGCGGCUUAUCAGCUUGUUGGUGGGGUAGUGGCUUACCAAGGCUUUGACGGGUAGCCGGCCUGAGAGGGUGACCGGCCACACGGGAACUGAGACACGGUGCAGAGUACUACGGGAGGCAGCAGGGGGGGAUAUUGGACAAUGGGCGCAGGCCGGAUCCAGCCAUACCGCGUGGGGGAAGAAGGCCUUCGGGUAGUAAAGACUUUGUGUGGGGAAAGAAAAGCAGCAGGUUAAUACCCCGCUGCUCGGACGGGACCUAAAAAAUAAGCACAGGCUAACUUCGUG